CCCUUAGAUGUUCUGGGCCGCACACGCGCUACACUGAAGGAGGCAGCGUGUACUCCUGGAUCGAAAGAUUUGGGUAACCCGCGAAUCUCCUUCGUGCUAGGAUUGAGGUUUGCAAUUAUCCUUCAUGAACGAGGAAUUCCCAGUAAGUGCAAGUCAUAAGCUUGCGCUGACUACGUCCCUGCCCUUUGUACACACCGCCCGUCGCUACUACCGAUUGAAUGAUUUAGUGAGGACUUCGGACUGGGACCGAUGCGGCUUUCGGGCUGCGUCGGUAUUCUGGAAAGAUGUCCAAACUGUAUCAUUUAGAGGAAGUAAAAGUCGUAACA
rnacentral:rRNA from 1 species